rnacentral:snRNA from 1 species
ACUAGCCCCGAAAAUGGAUGGCG